rnacentral:tRNA from 1 species
CUUGGAAGGAACUAAUGUUCUUUUUCUGUGCAACAGACAGACAUUUUUAAUAUAAAUUACUCCCAA